rnacentral:rRNA from 1 species
AUGAAGGAGGAGCUGGAGAGCAUGCAGGCCUUCUUCCGAACUGUCGAGCGCUUCAAGGAUGCAGACGAGACAACUGUUGCAUUUGUGAAGCAGAUCAGGGGCCUUGCCUUUAACAUCGAGGAUGUUAUCGACGAGUUCACCUUCAAGCUGGGGGAGGACCGUGAGGGGAUGUUUCUGUUGAAAGCAAUUAGGAGGGUCAAGCAAAUCAAGACAUGGUACCGGCUAGCCAACAAUUUGCGUGAUAUCAAAGCAAACCUCAAGAGUGCUGCAGAGAGGAGGCGCAGGUAUGACCUCAAGGGUGUUGAGAGGGACGCAAAACUGACAAGAAUAGGCAGCUUAAGUAUUAGACCUGCAGAGUCUGUACAUUUUAAAAGGGCAGAUGAUCUUGUGGGGAUUGCGGAGAACAGAGACUUGCUGAAGAAAUGGAUGAAAGAUGAGGAGCAGCGACACAUGAUCAUCACUGUUUGGGGCAUGGGAGGUGUUGGUAAGACAACACUUGUUGCGCAUGUCUACAACGCCAUCAAGACUGACUUUGACACCUGUGCUUGGAUCACUGUGUCUCAUAGCUAUGAGGCUAAUGAUUUGCUAAGACAGAUUGUUGAAGAGUUCCGAAAGAAUGACAGGAAGAAGGAAUUUCCGAAGGAUGUUGAUGUCACAGAUUACAGAAGCCUGGUGGAGACAAUCCGCCGUUACCUAGAGAAGAAAAGGUAUGUUCUUGUCCUAGAUGAUGUUUGGAGUGUGAAUGUUUGGUUUGACAGCAAAGAUGCGUUUUUUGGUGGCAAGCUUGGUCGGAUAAUUUUCACAUCAAGGAUAUAUGAGGUGGCACUGCUUGCUUCCGAAGCCCAGAUGAUUAACCUGCAACCCUUGCAAAAUCACUAUGCAUGGGAUCUGUUCUGCAAAGAGGCAUUUUGGAAGAAUGAAAACAGAGACUGUCCACCAGAAUUGCAGUAUUGGGCAAACAAGUUUGUGGAGAAAUGCAAUGGCUUGCCGAUUGCUAUUGUGUGCAUCGGGCGCCUACUGUCAUUCAAGAGCGCGACUUUUCUGGAGUGGGAGAAUGUAUACAAAACUCUUGAGCUGCAAUUUACAAACAAUUGCAUCCUGGAUAUGAACAUAAUCUUGAAGGUUAGUUUGGAAGACUUGCCACACAACAUGAAGAACUGCUUUCUUUACUGCUGCAUGUUCCCAGAGAAUCAUGUGAUGCAAAGGAAGUGGCUAGUGCGGCUCUGGGUCGCAGAAGGAUUUAUUGAGGCGAGUGAGCAUAAGACGCUGGAGGAGGUCGCAGAGGAUUACCUGACCGAACUCAUCAACCGGUGCCUGCUGGUGGAGGUUAAGAGGAAUGAAUCAGGAUAUGUCGAUGAUUUCCAGAUGCAUGACAUCCUUCGUGUGUUGGCCCUCUCCAAGGCACGCGAAGAGAAUUUUUGUAUUGUCCUCGAUUACUCAAGGACCAAUCUUAUUGGGAAAGCACGCCGUUUAUCAAUCCAAAGAGGGGAUAUCGCGCACCUUGCAGAGUCCGUGCCGCAUCUCCGCUCCUUGCUUGUCUUCCAGAAUUCGCUGACUUUUGGCUCGCUCCGUUCGUUCUCAAGGUCUGUUCAGUUAAUGUCUGUCUUGAACCUGCAAGAUAGUUCGAUUGAGAGCCUGCCAAACGAGGUGUUUGACUUGUUCAACCUGCGUUAUCUGGGCCUUAGACGGACCAAAAUUGCAAAUAUCUCACGGCUGAUUGGAAGGCUGCAGAAUCUGCUUGUGUUGGACGCCUGGAAAAGCAAGAUCACCAACCUGCCAGUGGAAAUCACAAGGCUCUCUAAGUUGACGCACCUCAUCGUCACUGUGAAGCCACAGAUACCGGCGAUGCAGUUCGUUCCUUCCAUUGGCGUGCCGGCGCCUAUUGGCAUGUGGUCUUUGGCGAGCCUGCAGACAUUACUGCUGGUGGAAUCCAGCUCCGAGAUGGUCCGUUACCUCGGUGCUCUGGUUCGAUUGAGGUCGUUCCGCAUCAGUAGAGUCCAAGGCCGCCAUUGCGAAAAGCUCUUCAAAGCCAUCACCAAUAUGGUCCAUCUCACCCGGCUCGGGAUCCACGCGGAUGACGACCAGGAGGUUCUGCAGCUCGACGCGCUCAACCCGCCCCCGUUACUCCAGAAGCUUUUCUUGCUAGGGACGUUGGAGAAAGAAUCACUGCCCCGGUUCUUCUUGUUGAUCAGCAAACUGAAAAGCCUCACCAUCCUGCGGCUCGUCUGGUCAAAGCUCGAGGAGGACAUGUUCUGCUACCUCGAGGAGCUGCAGCAGCUGGUGAAGCUCCAGCUCUACGAUGCGUUUGACGGCACCAGGAUGCGCUUCCGGGAGACGUCGUUUCAGAAGCUCCGGGUGCUCAAGAUCUGGGGAGCCCCGCGUCUCAGCCAGAUGACGAUAAGAAGCGGGGCGAUGCCCAGCUUGGUCGAUCUCAAGCUCCUGCUCUGUCCGGAGUUGAAGUCGUUGCCGUGCGGGAUCGAACACGUGGCCACGCUUGAAGAGCUGACCCUGGAUUCCACGGCGGAAGAGGACAACAUAUCUCAUGUUCAGAGAGUCUACGUCGGGUUCGUCAGGAACCGCGAGCUCGCUGCAGAGAGGAUUCAGUAG